rnacentral:rRNA from 1 species
GCUUUCCACCCUCAGUCGAGUGGUCAAGUGGAACGCGUCAAUCAGAUUCUAGAAGACAUGCUUCGAGCCUCUGUUAUCUCCUUCGGAAUGGACUGGGAGAAGUGUCUUCCAUUUGCCGAAUUCGCUUACAACAACAGCUAUCAAUCUAGCUUGGGUAAAGCCCCUUUUGAAGUUCUCUAUGGACGACGAUGUCGAACACCCCUUAACUGGUCAGAGACCGGGGAAAGACAAUUCUUUGGCCCGGAUAUGAUUCAGGAAGCAGAAGAACAAGUUCGUAUCGUUCGUGAAAAAUUGAAAACAGCCCAAUCUCGUCAAAAGAGUCAAUAUGACCGAAAACAUAAGGCUAUGACUUUCGAGGUUGACGAGAAGGCUUAUCUUCGGGUCACCCCUCUGAAGGGAACCCAUCGUUUCGGUAUCAAAGGCAAAUUGGCUCCUCGUUACAUUGGACCUUUUCGCAUUCUUGCCAAACGAGGAGAAGUUGCCUACCAGUUGGAACUACCUCCGCACCUCUCCAGAGUUCACGAUGUCUUCCACGUUUCUCAACUCAGGCGUUGCUUCUCGGAUCCUAUCCGUGAAGUGGACCACGAAACGCUUGAUCUCCAAGAUGAUCUUACAUAUCGAGAGUACCCCAUUCGUAUCCUCGAUCAAGCCGAACGUACCACGCGACAUCAUAAUAUCAAGUUUCUCAAGGUUCAAUGGUCGCACCAUUCUGAGGAUGAAGCAACUUGGGAAAGGGAGGAUCGUCUUCGACUUGAAUAUCCCGCCUUCUUCUCGGAGGAACCCAAAUCU